GUCAGGCCAGCGUGCUCCCUACGACCAAGAUUGUCCCAGCCCGUGCUCUUGAAUCCUCUGGUGUGCUGACCUCUUCCCUACAGUUCCUGAGGUCAUUUUGUGCACAGCAAGAAUGACACCCCAAUGAGCACUGAAGACUGUUCUGAAGGAGUGACUCCUUUUUGUGGGCCAGGUGGGGACCAGCGCAGCGGACAGCACUUUGGGCCAGUGGCCCUGCUGACACGGAGCUGCAGGCAAAGGCAGACUUCGGAGGUGUGUCUGGACCCACCCUGUGGGGGAUGAUGGGGACCUCAAGUCUGAGGGCCAGGCAGCCCUGCUUCAGGACCUCUCUGGAAACAUUCUGGAAGACCCUGUCCUUCCUGCACUGCCACAGACCACUGCUUAGAAUGGGCAGCUUGAUGGGUCCAGCAUAUCCGCCAGGUGAGCCAGGUGGCAGCCCGGGCAGUAGUCUCAGGGUUCGUGGGGCCGACAGUGGGUGCAUUGCUGCAGCACCUCCACAAUGCUGGGUAGUCGGCAGAGGUGCCAGCAGGAGGUG